GCACUGUUGAGGAGUCUCGCAACAGGACGAAACGGCCGUCCAGUGC
rfam:Schistosoma margrebowiei strain Zambia genome assembly, scaffold: SMRZ_contig0002361